GACGAACGCUGGCGGCGUGCUUAACACAUGCAAGUCGAACGGAAAGGCCUUGCUUUUGUGGGGUGCUCGAGUGGCGAACGGGUGAGUAACACGUGAGUAACCUGCCCUUGACUUUGGGAUAACUUCAGGAAACUGGGGCUAAUACCGGAUAGGAGCUCCUGCUGCAUGGUGGGGGUUGGAAAGUUUCGGCGGUUGGGGAUGGACUCGCGGCUUAUCAGCUUGUUGGUGGGGUAGUGGCUUACCAAGGCUUUGACGGGUAGCCGGCCUGAGAGGGUGACCGGCAAAAGUAGAACUGAGAUACGGCCCAGACUCCUACGGGAGGCAGCAGUGGGGAAUAUUGCACAAUGGGCGGAAGCCUGAUGCAGCAACGCCGCGUGCGGGAUGACGGCCUUCGGGUUGUAAGCCGCUUUCGCCUGUGACGAAGCGUGAGUGACGGUAAUGGGUAAAGAAGCACCGGCUAACUACGUG
rnacentral:rRNA from 1 species